rnacentral:rRNA from 1 species
UACCAGACUCCUACGGGAGGCAGCAGUGGGGAAUAUUGCACAAUGAGGGAAACCCUGAUGCAGCGACGCCGCGUGAGCGAUGAAGUAUUUCGGUAUGUAAAGCUCUAUCAGCAGGGAAGAAAAUGACGGUACCUGACUAAGAAGCCCCGGCUAACUACGUGCCAGCAGCCGCGGUAAUACGUAGGGGGCAAGCGUUAUCCGGAUUUACUGGGUGUAAAGGGAGCGUAGACGGCGGUGCAAGCCAGAUGUGAAAGCCCGGGGCUCAACCCCGGGACUGCAUUUGGAACUGUGCUGCUAGAGUGUCGGAGAGGCAGGCGGAAUUCCUAGUGUAGCGGUGAAAUGCAUAGAUAUCACGCAGAACUCCGAUUGCGAAGGCAGCGCACCGGCGCCCUACUGACGCUCAGGCACGAAAGCGUGGGUAUCGAACAGGAUUAGAUACCCUGGUA